rnacentral:rRNA from 1 species
UUUGUAGAAGGUGCUUCGGGCGCGGUCACGGUCCAAGUCCCUUGGAACAGGGCGUCGCAGAGGGUGAGAAUCCCGUACGCGGCCGACGACCAAGCCUGGGUGAAGCCCUUUCGACGAGUCGAGUUGUUUGGGAAUGCAGCUCUAAAUGGGUGGUAAAUUUCAUCUAAAGCUAAAUACCUGCCAGAGACCGAUAGCGCACAAGUAGAGUGAUCGAAAGAUGAAAAGCACUUUGAAAAGAGAGUCAAAAAGUACGUGAAAUUGUUGAAAGGGAAGCGAUUGCUAUCAGACUCGUCUGCGGGUGUUCAGCCGCUGUACGCAGUGGUGCACUCUCCCGUUUCGGGCCAGCAUCGGUUCCGGCGACCGGAUAAAGGCUUCGGGAACGUAGCUCUCUUCGGGGAGUGUUAUAGCCCGGGGUGCAAUGCGGCCAGCUGGGACCGAGGACCGCGCAUUGCUAGGAUGCU